CCUACGGGCGGCAGCAGUGGGGGAUAUUGCACAAUGGGGGAAACCCUGAUGCAGCGACGCCGCGUGGGUGAAGAAGCGCCUCGGCGCGUAAAGCCCUGUCAGCAGGGAAGAAAAUGACGGUACCUGAAGAAGAAGCCCCGGCUAACUACGUGCCAGCAGCCGCGGUAAUACGUAGGGGGCAAGCGUUAGCCGGAUUUACUGGGUGUAAAGGGGGCGCAGACGGGGAUGCAAGCCAGGAGUGAAAGCCCGGGGCCCAACCCCGGGACUGCUCUUGGAACUGCGUGGCUAGAGUGCAGGAGGGGCAGGCGGAAUGCCUGGUGUAGCGGUGAAAUGCGUAGAUAUCAGGAGGAACACCGGUGGCGAAGGCGGCCUGCUGGACUGCAACUGACGUGGAGGCCCGAAAGCGUGGGGAGCAAACAGGAUUAGAUACCCGGGUAGUC
rnacentral:rRNA from 1 species